ensembl:lncRNA
GUGAUAUAGUAAACAGCAUGGAAUGGUACACUUUCAAUAGGUAAUGUCUCAUGCAAAAAAAUAAUAAUAAUAAACGAUAAUCAAAAAAAGAGUUUUGAGCCAGACUGAGGGCUAGCCCAGAAGCCUGCUUUCCAGAUUACUCUGUGAAACUGCUCCAAAGAAGCAGGGUUUUCAGCGUAGUUUUGUGUCUUGUCAGAACAAAGAAUGUCAAACAAGUCAGGGAGACAUUUCUUCAAGGUCUCAGAACAGACCACGUUUGAGGCGAGUCAGUAUGACCUUGGCACCUGUGAAGUAAGUCUUAUUAUCAGAGGAGGACCAGAACUGGCAUCCCAGCAAGGACUUUAAUCUUUAUUUUGAACAUGGACAUCCUUGACUUCUGGUCAGUGCGUCCUCUUCUUUAAGUAAAGCAGAUGUACAAUGUAGGUUGAUAAGCCACAAACAGGCUUUUUAAGUUAGCAUCAAAUUUAAGUUAACAGGGGGACUUCCCUGGUGGUCCAGUGGUUAAGACUCCAGCUCUCAAUGCAGGGGACCUGGGGUUUGAUCCUUGGUGAGCAAUCUCAGAUCCCCUCAAGGAAAAAGCAGUUUCUGGUUCCUCCUGACCCUUGGCCCGCCCUGGAUUGGAAGCCCAUGAGAGGGUUGAACACUCCUACCUCUGGAAUGGACACUGAGGGAAGGCCACAUUAAGGAUGCGGGGAGAAGAUGGCCAUCUGCAAGCUAAGGAGAGAGGCCUCAGAGUGAAGCCGACCUUGACCCUGGACUUCCUGCCUGCAGGACUGAGGAACUAUGAGGCAAGUGGGAUCUUAGUUCCACAACCGGGGAUCAAACCUGUGCCCGCUGCACUGGAAGCACAGAAUCUCAACCACUGGACCACCAGAUAAUCCACGACUGCCUGCCCAUCUCCAGAUCCUCAACUUAAUCCCAUCUGCAGAGUCCCUUCUGCUAGGUAAGGGGACAUCUUCACAGGUUCCCAGAGACCACUGUUAUUCUGCCCAUCACAGCAAGACAAGCCUACUUUUUCUGAAAAGGGCCCCGCAAUAAAUCUUUUAGGCUUUGUGGGCCAUCUGGUCUCUGUUGCUAAGACUGCACAAUUUUCAGAGCUCAAUGCAAGAUAAAAAUAUGGGACUCCUUCAUUCACAAGAUUAAGAAUUUCAGACCAGUGACGGCAGAAGUACAGGCCCCCGCCAUCUGAGCAAGUCUGCGUCUGCUCCUGCAACCUGAAAGCGGCCGUGGGCCACACACAGAUGACGGGAGUGGGCGUGGGACCAGUAAACGUGAUGGACGCUGAAGGUGCACUUUCCCAUGUCACAAAAUGCUAUUCUUUUGGGGUUUUUUUCCAAUCAUUUAGAAAUGUAAACGC